ACAAUUGAAAGUUAGGGUUUGUACUCAAUAAUAUGGAAUUUUGGCUCUAUUGUUGCUGAAGUUGCAUAUGCAAAAUCGAUUUCAAGCAAGGAACUGGUGACUU